rnacentral:lncRNA from 1 species
GGGGGCUGGUCGGUGGGGUUAACAAAAAAGGGAUAAUAUCCUACUAACCAGUAAAAUACUAAGUAGCAAUUUUUUAAAUGAGGUAAAUUGUCAGAUACUGACAUGGAAUAAUUGUACUUUAUGUGUAAAAGUUACAGAACAACACUUAUGAUAGAGUUUAUGCAGACACAGAGUUUAUACAUGGCUACUUCUGAGAAGAAUAUAUUGCAAAGGAAUGAGGUAAUUUUAUUUUACUUCUCACCAUUCUCUACCAUUACAAUUAUUUUCUUAAGCAUAUAUAUUUUCACAAUAAUUAUUAAGGACUGUGCAAGAGGAGGUGGAGCAUAAAUCAAAACAAUGGAGACAAUAUGAUACUACUGAAGAUGCAAGUAUAAGUGAUAGAACAUAAAAAAAGUUUUGAAAGGAAAGAAUAUACAAAAAGAUAUUGGAGGCUGGGCGCAGUGGCUCACAUCUGUAAUCCCAGCACUUUGAGGCUGAGGCAAGCAGAUUGCUUGAGCCCAGGAGUUCGAGACCAGCCUGGGCAACAUGGUGAAACCCCAUUUCUACAAAAAGUACAAAAAUUAGCUGGGCAUGGUGGCACAUGCCUGUGGUCCCAGUUACUCAGGAGGCUGGGGUGGGAGGAUCACUUGAGUCAGGGAGGCAGAGUUUGCGGUGAGCCAAGAUCUUGCCACUACACUCCAGCCUGGGUGACAGAGUGAGAUCCUGUCUCAGACGAAAAAGGAAGCAGCAAUUGGAAAAUGAAAUAAAGGAAGUAAAAAUGAAACUAGGUGUCAUAACUCAGGAGUGCUGUUUAUACCAGAUGAAUCUACAAAGCCAAGAACAGGAA